GACGAACGCUGGCGGCGUGCUUAACACAUGCAAGUCGAACGGUAAGGCCCUUCGGGGUACACGAGUGGCGAACGGGUGAGUAACACGUGGGUGAUCUGCCCUGCACUUCGGGAUAAGCCUGGGAAACUGGGUCUAAUACCGGAUAGGACCACUGCCUGCAUGGGCGGUGGAAAGCUUUUGCGGUGUGGGAUGGGCCCGCGGCCUAGCAGCUUGUUGGUGGGGUGAUGGCCUACCAAGGCGACGACGGGUAGCCGGCCUGAGAGGGUGACCGGCCACACUGGGACUGAGAUACGGCCCAGACUCCUACGGGAGGCAGCAGUGGGGAAUAUUGCACAAUGGGCGCAAGCCUGAUGCAGCGACGCCGCGUGAGGGAUGACGGCCUUCGGGUUGUAAACCUCUUUCAGCACCGACGAAGCGCAAGUGACGGUAGGUGCAGAAGAAGGACCGGCCAACUACGUGCCAGCCGCCGCAGUAA
rnacentral:rRNA from 1 species